AGAAUCAACGCUGGCGGCGUGCCUAACACAUGCAAGUCGAACGAGAAAGUGGAGCAAUCCAUGAGUAAAGUGGCGCACGGGUGAGUAACACGUGACUAACCUACCCUUGAGUGGGGAAUAACUUCGGGAAACCGAGGCUAAUACCGCAUAACACCUACGGGUCAAAGGAGCAAUUCGCUUAAGGAGGGGUCGCGGCAGAUUAGUUAGUUGGCGGGGUAAUGGCCCACCAAGACAGUGAUCUGUAUCCGGCCUGAGAGGGCGCACGGACACACCUGGAACUGAAACACGGUCCAGACUCCUACGGGAGGCAGCAGUGGGAAUUUUGCGCAAUGGGGGAAACCCUGACGCAGCAACGCCGCGUGGAGGAUGAAGUCUCUUGGGACGUAAACUCCUUUCGAUCGGGACGAUAAUGACGGUACCGGAAGAAGAAGCCCCGGCUAACUUCGCGCCAGCAGCCGC
rnacentral:rRNA from 1 species